rnacentral:piRNA from 1 species
UCAUGAUGUGAACAGCAUACUCACUGC